rnacentral:rRNA from 1 species
CUGACCUCGGAUCAGACGUGAAUACCCGCUGAACUUAAGCAUAUCACUAAGCGGAGGAAAAGAAACUAACCAGGAUUCCCUCAGUAACUGCGAGUGAAGAGGGAUGAGCCCAGCACCGAAGCCUGCGGUCGUUUGACUGCUAGGCAAUGUGGUGUUCAGGUCGUCUUUUGGCAUUACUGCUCCAUCCUAAGUCCAGCACUGAGUAUGGCAACUGGAAUGGCCCAAGGAGGGUGAAAGGCCCGUGGGGGUGGAGAUCAAGUCGGACGGUAUUGCCCUUAGUCGACCUUGGAGUCGGGUUGUUUGUGAAUGCAGCCCAAAGCGGGUGGUAAACUCCAUCCAAGGCUAAAUACUAGCACGAGUCCGAUAGCGAACAAGUACCGUGAGGGAAAGUUGAAAAGUACUUUGAAGAGAGAGUAAACAGUGCGUGAAACCGCUCAGAGGUAAACGGGUGGAGUUGAACUGUAAGCUCCGGGAAUUCAGCUGGUGAGUGUGUCAUGGGCUUGGUCAUUUUCGGCCGGCCUCUGGAGUCCGCUUAGCUGCGGGUCCUUGCUUCUUCGGGAGUAGGGAUGUGCGUUGCGCUUGUCAAGUGCUGUGCGCUCUGGAGGUUGCCGGGCUGGCUCGCCGGUGCACUUUCUCGGAGUGGUCACCACGACCGGCGUUGUUGUCUUGCUGCUGUGGUCGAACCGGCUGGGUUUGGUCCUUGUGGCUGAACUUGGUCGGGAUGGCAGGUAGCUCAUUGGUUGGCUUGUCCAGUCUUUGGGUGUAAUCAGCUGUCUGCAGUGGUAUUGUGCAAUGCGUCGGAGACUGCGGCUUUAGGUAUUUGCUUUCGUGCCGUUGGCUGGCAGUGUUGGGUUUGACUGGCGUGUUACCUGCUUCGGUGGGUCCGUCGGUAGCUCAGUGCUGUUCGGUUAGCGGUUGCUUAAGUGAUAUCGUACAUGGGCCCAUAGUCUGUGGUGUAGCAGCAAACGAUCCACCUGACCCGUCUUGAAACACGGACCAAGGAGUUUAACAUGUGCGCGAGUCAUUGGGCGUUACGAAACCCAAAGGCGCAGUGAAAGUAAAGGUUCGGCUUGUCCGAGCUGAGGUGAGAUCCUGUAGCUUCUCGUGCGAGGUACCACCAAGCAGUGAGCUAUGGGCGCAUCACCAGCCCGUCUCAUGGUGUGGUCAUGUAGCCUUGUGUUGCGUGCAUCACCGGGGCGGAGCCUGAGCGCACACGUUGAGACCCGAAAGAUGGUGAACUAUGCUUGCGCAGGUUGAAGCCAGAGGAAACUCUGGUGGAGGACCGCAGCGAUUCUGACGUGCAAAUCGAUCGUCUAACGUGAGUAUAGGGGCGAAAGACUAAUCGAACCAUCUAGUAGCUGG